AUUGAACGCUGGCGGCAGGCCUAACACAUGCAAGUCGAGCGAGCGGCGGACGGGUGAGUAACGUCUGGGUAACUGCCCGAUGAAGGGGGAUAACCAUCGGAAACGGUAGCUAAAACCCCAUACUACUUGAUGUGCUCAGAUGGGAUUAGCUAGUUGGUGUGGUAAUGGCUCACCCAGGCGACGAUCCCUAGCUGGUCUGAGAGGCUGACCAGCCACACUGGAACUGAGACACGGUCCAGACUCCUACGGGAGGCAGCAGUGGGGAAUAUUGCACAAUGGGCGCAAGCCUGAUGGAGCCAAGCCGCGUGUGUGAAGAAGGCCUUCGGGUUGUAAAGCACUGUAAUCGGGGAGGCGUUACCCGCAGAGGAAGCACCGGCUAACUCCGUGCCAGCAGCCGCGGUAAUUC
rnacentral:rRNA from 1 species